AUUUUAGUGAAGAUAAAAGAUAAGAUAAAUAGUAUCUACAACUAAAAGGCAUAAAAGCACUUUUGCAAAAUUAAGGCCUGAGGUGGUUCAAUUUGCCCACCUCCAGUUUGAAAUGAUCAACAUCUGGAAGUGCGACAACACUGUCCGGCAGUCUGUUCCAUUGGACUAUGAUUGCUCUCUUGACUCCUGUCCACUGCAUUGGUGAAGAUCUGCAUCUGCCAUUCCUGUCUCAGGAAAACCUUUUGCCACCUUUAUUGACAGAUGCCCAGUUACAAAUCAUCUCAAGACUCCACAGUGCCAGUUUCGUUGCCAGGACCAUCUGUGGCUCCGUAUCCUCCCCUGAGACUGGUUCCACCGACAACCAAUACACUUCCUACACAACCUGCACCACAGCAAAGUGUAUUCAGCCAACAUGGAUGAGAGUGCCUCCCUCUAUGCUUGGUAGGAGGAUUGUAACCACCAUCAAUGGCAAGAAACAGGUCAUUGUGUUCACAAGAGAAGACCAAAGAAAUGAUCCUGCAGACAAAGAUGGGGUGUGA
rnacentral:sRNA from 1 species